GGAGAAUGAAAAUCGAAUCCAUCGACUGAUCUAUUACACUAGCAAAGUACUUCACAAUUUUGAAGUCCGAUACUCAAGAGCAGAGAAAAUAAUCUACACCCUAAUCAUAUCGGCACGACUUCAUCCAUACUUUCAAGCACAUCUAAUUGUGGUCUUGAUAGAUCAGCCGUUGAAGACAAUCUUACAUCGACCUGAUAUGUCAGGUCGGAUGGUGAAGUGGGCAGUGAAGCUUGACGAGUUCAACAUGC
rnacentral:lncRNA from 1 species